UGUUCCCUGCGGGGCUCGUGAUGUGCAGCAAACGCUCGAACCGAUACCAACCAUAGGGGGCUGUUUCGGCUUCCGGGUGCAUGCCUCCUCUCGGGGAGGACGCCGAAGGAAGCCGACUUUGGUCCCCACCUGAACCUCUCGGUUCAGUGGAAGCGGUACACACGGCUCAGUGGCGGGGAACGU
rnacentral:other from 1 species